AGAGUUUGAUCCUGGCUCAGAACGAACGCUGGCGGCGCGCCUAAUACAUGCAAGUCGAGCGAGAAGGUGUAGCAAUACACUUGUAAAGCGGCGAACGGGUGAGGAAUACAUGGGUAAUCUACCAUCGAGUGGGGAAUAACCAGCCGAAAGGUUGGCUAAUACCGCGUACGCCUCCGGAUCUUCGGGUUCGGAGGGAAAGCCACACUGUGAGUGCGGCGCUCUUUGAUGAGCUCAUGUCCUAUCAGCUUGUUGGUAGGGUAACGGCCUACCAAGGCUUUGACGGGUAGCUGGUCUGAGAGGACGAUCAGCCACACUGGCACUGCGACACGGGCCAGACUCCUACGGGAGGCAGCAGUAAGGAAUAUUGCGCAAUGGGCGAAAGCCUGACGCAGCGACGCCGCGUGGGGGAUGAAGGUCUUCGGAUUGUAAACCCCUUUCGGGAGGGAAGAUGGAGCGAGCAAUCGUUCGGACGGUACCUCCAGAAGCAGCCACGGCCAACUUCGUGCCAGCAGCCGCGGUAAUA
rnacentral:rRNA from 1 species